rnacentral:misc_RNA from 1 species
GCGAAAAAUAUAUUCUCUAUUCAAAAGAUUGAAGAAUACCUGGUUAUGGAUGGUAUUACUAAUGUAAAAGUUGCUUCGUUAGGUGGUGAUAUAGUUUUAUUUAUAUUCGAAUCUAAGGAUAUCAUGGAUGGCUUUGUCAAUGUGGAAAGGUCAUGGCUUAGUAAGUGGAUAGAUGACUUAAAACCUUGGGAGGCUAUUUUCACUCCAUCUAAGAGAGUAGCUUGGAUUAGGUUGCAAGGGGUUCCUUUACAUAUAUGGACAAUGAAUUUCUUUCGAUGGCUUGGGAGUAGCUUGGAUUAGGUUGCAAGGGGUUCCUUUACAUAUAUGGACAAUGAAUUUCUUUCGAUGGCUUGG